rnacentral:rRNA from 1 species
GCUCAGAUUGAACGCUGGCGGCAUGCUUUACACAUGCAAGUCGAACGGCAGCGGGGGCUUCGGUCCGCCGGCGAGUGGCGAACGGGUGAGUAAUGCAUCGGAACGUACCCAGUCGUGGGGGAUAACGCAGCGAAAGCUGUGCUAAUACCGCAUACGUCCUGAGGGAGAAAGCGGGGGACCUUCGGGCCUCGCGCGAUUGGAGCGGCCGAUGUCGGAUUAGCUAGUUGGUGGGGUAAAGGCUCACCAAGGCGACGAUCCGUAGCUGGUCUGAGAGGAUGAUCAGCCACACUGGGACUGAGACACGGCCCAGACUCCUACGGGAGGCAGCAGUGGGGAAUUUUGGACAAUGGGGGCAACCCUGAUCCAGCCAUGCCGCGUGAGUGAAGAAGGCCUUCGGGUUGUAAAGCUCUGUCGACAGGGAAGAAGUUAUUCAUGGUUAAGAGCUGUGGAUAUUGACGGUACCUGUGGAGGAAGCAUCGGCUAACUCCGUGCCAGCGGCCGGGGGAAU